rnacentral:rRNA from 1 species
GAUGAACGCUGGCGGCGUGCCUAAUACAUGCAAGUCGAGCGAACGGACGAGAAGCUUGCUUCUCUGAUGUUAGCGGCGGACGGGUGAGUAACACGUGGAUAACCUACCUAUAAGACUGGGUUAACUUCGGAAAACCGGAGCUAAUACCGGAUAAUAUUUUGAACCGCAUGGUUCAAAAGUGAAAGACGGUCUUGCUGUCACUUAUAGAUGGAUCCGCGCUGCAUUAGCUAGUUGGUAAGGUAACGGCUUACCAAGGCAACGAUGCAUAGCCGACCUGAGAGGGUGAUCGGCCACACUGGAACUGAGACACGGUCCAGACUCCUACGGGAGGCAGCAGUAGGGAAUCUUCCGCAAUGGGCGAAAGCCUGACGGAGCAACGCCGCGUGAGUGAUGAAGGUCUUCGGAUCGUAAAACUCUGUUAUUAGGGAAGAACAUAUGUGUAAGUAACUGUGCACAUCUUGACGGUACCUAAUCAGAAAGCCACGGCUAACUACGUG